GCGGGCGUGGCGGAACUGGUAGACGCGCCAGGUUUAGGUCCUGGUGACUUAACAGGUCGUGGGGGUUCAAGUCCCUCCGCCCGCACCA
rnacentral:tRNA from 1 species